rnacentral:rRNA from 1 species
GAUGAACGCUAGCGGCAGGCCUAACACAUGCAAGUCGAGGGGCAGCACAGAAACAGCAAUGUUUUGGUGGCGACCGGCGGACGGGUGCGUAACGCAUAUGCAACCUACCUUUAACAGGGGGAUAACGGAGAGAAAUUUCCACUAAUACCCCAUAACAUCGAUCAAGGCAUCUUGAUUGGUUGAAAACUCCGGUGGUUACAGAUGGGCAUGCGUUGUAUUAGGUAGUGGGUGAGGUAAUGGCUCACUAAGCCUACGAUACAUAGGGGGACUGAGAGGGUAGCCCCCCACACUGGUACUGAGACACGGACCAGACUCCUACGGGAGGCAGCAGUGAGGAAUAUUGGUCAAUGGGGGCAACCCUGAACCAGCCAUGCCGCGUGCAGGAAGACGGCUCUAUGAGUUGUAAACUGCUUUUAAACAGGGAUAAAGCACAGUAUGUAUACUGUGUUGAAGGUACUGUAAGAAUAAGGAUCGGCUAACUCCGUGCCAGCCGCCGCCGUAA